rnacentral:rRNA from 1 species
AUGGGCAUGGGCAUGGCUUCUCCCUUGCUUUCCUGCGCCAUCAUGGCGCUCCUCGCCUCCGUCCUCCCCCCGCCGUCCGUCGCCGGCGACCCCGACCUGCUCCAGGACAUCUGCGUCGCUGACCUCUCUUCCGGUAAGCCGCCACGGCCUGAUUCCGUGCGUGCUCUCUGCUGCUCACAGAUCAGAAAGAUGGUGCAAAUUAAUCACGUCUUCGACUUGUGUGCAGGGGUGAAGGUGAAUGGGUUCGCGUGCAAGGCCACGGUGACCGAGGACGACUUCUACUUCAAGGGGCUGGGCGCCGCCGGCAACACCAGCACCACCUACGGCUCCGUGGUGACCGGCGCCAACGUGGAGAAGGUGCCCGGGCUCAACACCCUGGGCGUCUCCAUGGCGCGCAUCGACUACGCGCCGGGCGGGCUCAACGCGCCGCACACCCACCCGCGCGCCACCGAGAUGGUCUUCGUCCUCCAGGGCGCCCUCGACGUCGGCUUCAUAACCACCGCCAACAAGCUCGUCUCCAAGACCAUCGCCGCCGGCGACGUCUUCGUGUUCCCGCGCGGCCUGGUCCAUUUCCAGAAGAACAACGGCGCCGGCCCCGCCUCCGUCAUCUCCGCCUUCAACAGCCAGUUCCCCGGCACGCAGUCGCUCGCCAUGACGCUCUUCGCGGCCACGCCGCCGGUGCCCGACCACGUGCUCACCACGGCGUUCCAGGUCGGCACCAAGGAGGUGGACAAGAUCAGGUCCAGGCUCGCCCCGAAAAAGGCCUGA